rnacentral:rRNA from 1 species
UGAUGCAGCGACGCCGCGUGAGGGAUGACGGCCUUCGGGUUGUAAACCUCUUUCACCAGGGACGAAGCGAAAGUGACGGUACCUGGAGAAGAAGCACCGGCCAACUACGUGCCAGCAGCCGCGGUAAUACGUAGGGUGCGAGCGUUGUCCGGAAUUACUGGGCGUAAAGAGUUCGUAGGCGGUUUGUCGCGUCGUUCGUGAAAACUUGGGGCUUAACUCCAAGCGUGCGGGCGAUACGGGCAGACUUGAGUACUACAGGGGAGACUGGAAUUCCUGGUGUAGCGGUGAAAUGCGCAGAUAUCAGGAGGAACACCGGUGGCGAAGGCGGGUCUCUGGGUAGUAACUGACGCUGAGGAACGAAAGCGUGGGUAGCGAACAGGAUUAGAUACCCUGGUAGUCCACGCUGUAAACGGUGGGUACUAGGUGUG